ensembl:lncRNA
GGGCCCCUCUGCCCAGGGAGGAGCGUCGGCCCCCGCGGCGCGGGCAGUGCCGGGCCGGGUGCUUGGAAGCCAGCUUCGCUUCACGAAAGCUCUUGGUUUGCGGCGGGUUCCGCGAACCGCCUUCGGUCGCGGUGUCUGCGGAGACCAAAGGUGGCUCGCGGAACUGAGCUCACCCCGCUGCGCGCCGCAGAGGUCCGACUGGCCGAAGGGAGGCUGCGUGCGUCAUCCCAACUGUGCCCAGAGACGAUGAGGGAAAGGCCUCGAGCGCAGUGGGAGAUAAGGAACUACUCGUUGCAAAAGGUCCUGCAUAAGUACAGAGUGGCAUCCACUCCUAUCCUGCACGAGUAAGUGCGGUAUAAGGAGUGCUGCCUGCGUUGGAGCUGCCCGGGCUGACCACCAGAGCUUCAGGACAGAUUCUGCAUGCCCGGCUUCCCGUUCUUCCCAGGCACAAAUGGAUCCACCUUCUGCGUGCGCUGAAAUAGCUGAAACCAAGCUCAUCUACCGCGCCCCUGUUGCCAGCCUGCAGAGCCCAUCCCCUGAGACAGCAGCAGUCACAUUCAGCAUCGCGGUGCCCAGCACAAAUGUGUCCUGCCGUUGGAGGGACCCCCACUCUUGCAACACAGCCCUACGCAGUGGCUCUCCAGCAGAGCGUUACGUUUGCCUUUGUGUUUUCCGUACCUCCAAGAAGGUCAGCAACAACCAGAAGGUGAUCCAGGGCUAGGAGGCAGCAGGGCAAGCUCGCUUCCUUGGCUCUGUAGGUCACAGCUGGGCCCAGGAGCCCAGCUAGACACUACUAAUGCAUUCAGUCGGGGGGGGGGGGAGGACUCAAACAAACAAAUAAAUAAAUAAAGCUCAGAUGCUCGUGGUAAUUAUUUACAUAUUUGCACCUUGCUUUAAAGCAUUCCACGCCGGGUGGCAAAUCCUCCUUCUCAUGGAAGGAGCACUCCGCAGGUAUGCGUGCUAUUGAGCUGCUAAGCGGCAGCGGCAGCCCCAAGGGGAGGUCCGGCAGGCAGACAGCUGCAGCAAAGACGGGCGGCUGCCAGGUGGAGGCGGAGCUCCUCCUCUCCCAUGGAGGUAGUUCUAUGGGAACGCUGAGUCACCUGCUCCCCGCAUAAAGGAGCUGGAGAAACGGUAAUUACAUGUAAUUUCCUCGCGUUUCUUUUGCUCCUGCACCAUCACUUCGCUUUUGCAGUGAAUUUGGCUGUCGAGUCAGGAGUUUUCUUUCUUGGAAAGCAUUGUAGUCUUGUACCUUGGGCUAAUAUGUAACAGCCUGAUAAGGCGGUAACGGUAAUAGUUCUCAAUCAGCUUCAAAGCAGGGGUAAUCCAUCAUUCCUUGGCAAGCGAACAUUUAGUGCGCAUAAAAUAGCUGUAAAUACUUUGUGGAAUUCUGGCAAAUAACAUUUACACAAAGCUAUUAGCUCUGGGGGUGAGGUUCCGGCAGGCUUCCCCUCUCUCCACUCAGGGAUUUGAGGUGUCUGUGAUGCUCUGCCCGACCUCUCCCUGCCUGCAGUGCUCUGUGGGUGCAGCCCGGUGUCCCAGCAGCACCCGUCACCCUCGGGAAUCCAGGACUGCUCAAAGCCAUGCCACGUUUAGCUCCUUCACUUUCAGCAGCACAUCACCACCUCUCCAAGCUGCUCCAAAAGCAUGUCCUCAAUGCUCCGAAAGUGGGUUGGAAAAGGGUGGCUCCUGCAGCUGUGUUAGCAUGGGCCUGCAGUCAGUGCUUUACACGGUGGCCAAACAAAUGGUCCUCCAUCUUAGAAAGCAGAUAAACGGUGAGCUCCACCGCAGCCACGUUAUCUCUCAAGUGAAGUGAUGAAGAUGCAGUUGAAGUCCAGAGGAAAGCCGAGGAUUGAACUGAACGUGUGGCUCUCCACACUUUGUACGUGUAACCUCAGUGCUGGAUACCCAAAGUGGACGGCUCACUGGGACUGUUACCACCCUGCGUUCCCAAAGCAAGGAGGCCGGGGAAUGCCCCAUCUCUGCCCUCGGCAGCUCCAUGCCCAUCUCCAGCCCUGUGGGCAGGAGCAUGCAGAGCCUCGGGCAGGCUGCGCUCAGGGCUCACCCCUCACCAUGCGUGGCACAAAAGGAACAUAAACAGGAAGCACGAAGCCACAGGAAGUUCGACUACAGAAGUUUCGCUGUUCAUAGAAGCAUUAUUUUUAAUACUUCUAUCACCAUACCUCAUGUCAGGAAAGAGCGUUUGAUUUCUCCUCCUGCUCAGAACUCGGGGAGGUAAAACGUUCCCUCCAGGUUAAAGACUGUCUCCCAACCUGAUUCUUGCCAUGUUACAGCAUGGUGGCACCAAGCUGUGACUGCUCACACCAUUACAAUGGGAGUGCUGGGAUUAGACAAUCAGUUUCCCCCGAAUUCUCUGGCUAUCUGCUUUCUAAUUUCUCCUUCUCUGGUAUCGGCACACCUCACCUCCAGGAUGUCCUCAUCCGCAGAUGCAAACUAAGCUCCAUCCCCUGCCCCGCUGACAGAUGGACCACUGCCUGCUCCAGACACAGUUCUCUCGUCACACUAAAAGCUAGACGGUCUCCCCAGUCAUUCCCCUUGUUAGCAAAACCUUCAUGUUGAUAAAAUACUAUUUCUGACCUCCAUUACUCACCUCCCGCAAUUCCUUCCCUGCUCCUUUUCCCUCCCUUUUCUCCCAGCUCCAUCACGCACCACCAGCUGAACACAGAUCACCAUCUGUGGUUUACCUGGAGGUUUUGACCACUGUUAUCUAGGGCAUUCCCCUGCUUUGAGGAUUUUGCUUCCUGAACACUUGCAGUGACCGUCCUCCUUCCUCAUUAAUUCUCUGCUCCCUGGUCCCUUCCCCCAUGUCCCUCAGCCCUCUUUUGUAAGCCACACGACUUCCUCCUUCCCCCUCUCUGGGAAGAUUUUCUUAGCGUUUUUCAGCCACUUCCCUUUUUCAGGCUCAACGUGCAGCCAUAGACAAAUGAGCAGGCAGCAUCCUGGGCACACACGGGAGUAACCCCUGCCUCCAACCGGCUGCCUGCCGCAGCACAUUUUAAUCCCAUCAACAACUGCACCAACUAUUUAUAAUCAGCUCUCUGAUUACGUUCCUAAGGUCAACGUCCAGCUCAAAAGACUUGGAGCGGCCUGAGUACUGCUGCAGUUUCUCUCCUCCCUGGGGACUCACAGAACGUGCUCAUCCAUAUGUGCCACCUGCCUGCUGGUAGCCCACCUCCCUCCUGGUGGCCCACUCACCACUGCCCUGGAUCACACCAAUGUGGCUCCAUGAGGUGCUGUCAAAGGCAGUUCAAACCCCUGUGCUGGCGUGCCGAGCAGAUGAAGCCCACGUUGUGGUCUGCACACCGUAAACCCCAGCAGGACCCCAAGCCAACUGCUGACAAAGCAAGGUGGUAUCCCCCUUUAGCCAGCCUUGUUGCAUGGUGCCAUGCAGUAGAGGUGCGGACUGCAGGAAGCUGCUUUCAGCUGAAUGGGAUAAAAGGGAAGGCAAAACAUUCUCACUUAAGCACCGGAAAUUGAAAGGGAGAGAAAGAGGAAACGCCUGUGUCUGUUACAAGGGAUCUUACAGAAAGAAAUUUCUCUAAGGUAGCUGUCAAUGUUUAGUUUUACUUACGUUCUCGUACAGAAGAUUGCUGGUUUUUUCCACUGCUCUCCUUAAAGGUGUUAUGGUUAAAUAAGUAGAACCUGUACGUUCUUAAUGACCAUGAAAUGCUAUGGCAGUACCCUUCAUACACACGUCCACCCUUGCAUCAGAUCCUCAGAGCGCUCAGCU